AGUGCGCUAACGUGCCUGCCGAAUGUCAGUAAUUCAGGGCACCGAAAUUCACUUUGAGUUCUCAGCCAACGCAAAAAAGCCUUUUGAAAACAACGGAAAAGGGAGGUACCUCGUGUGCACACGCAUAUAGAUUGCAUGACGAUAGAAUGCACACACAUCCAACGGGGCAAGACCCUGCCAUGCAGAAAAGAAGUAGCCCACCAGCCAUCAGCAACGCAACAAUGUCUGCACAUGGAAACAGUGCACACCAGCCGAGAAGCAGAAAGAAAAGAAGCAACCAUCUCGGGAGUCUCGUUCGUAAUUUAGGAAAAAUGUGUGAAGGUUGCGUGGGCGGGCGUUGAGCACCAAUGCCACAAAAGCAGAACAAUAAAAACAAUAUAUGCACUU